GUUUGCAGUUGACACGGCGACGUUUAUAUUAGUGUGAAGUGUUUUUCCUUUCUCACACAAAAGUAUACCUAUUACUCAAGUAAGAGGCGCAAUCGACUAUAUCCUGCGACGACUCAAGCUAAUUAUAGUAAUGAUUGUUUAAGCAACGAUAGAAGGAUGUGUGACGCAUAUAAUAGACAAAAAAAACUUUUGAUACAACAUAUAUAAGGCGAAAAAAGCUAACUCAAAUGCGACAGUCAUCAGAGGCGUUGUCUAACGAAAGUUUAGGCUACACGCUAAGUUUUUGGUACGAGGGCUCUGCAACUUUUGUCAUAAGUUCGUUUGUCUCGACAAUUAGCAGAUGAGCUGCUAGGCAAACAACGUGAUGCACCCAUGCGUCCCCUGAAUCAGCAAAAACUUGUGCAAGCUAAGGAGAUCCAAAUGACAGAGACGUCACAUGUAACUGCCUACAAUUCUGGAAAACCACAUCAGCGUCACUGCGUCAAGCGCUAAUGGAGUUAUCAUCAUUUAGUUAGCAUGUGACGGACCCAUCGUUUCAAAAGCUCUGCACUAGAGGCUGCUUAAUGUGCGUAAUUUACAGUACUUUUACAGGUAAAAAUCGACAACCUGCGGUAUUAUACAGUUACUUGCUGCAAUCUUGUACAGUAUAAUAUAUUCUUAGACAAUGAGGUGUUGGAAUUGUCAUGUAUCAAGCGCCGACAAUAUCCAAAUUGAUUCAACAACGAGAAAAGAAGAAGAGAGCUUCAACACUACCAAAGCUGCUUCGGAUGAAGAUAGCGAGAAGGACAUUGAAUAGAUCAGGAAUUAUAUUGCUUUUUAAUUGAUUCUGGGAAGCAACACCAAUUACAAUAACAAUAAAAAGAACGAGCGGUUUGGCAGCUACAUUUGGCGAUUUACUUCAUUUUUUUUUUCAUCAAUAAAUUAGAUAAUUCACAGCAAUGACAGUUACAUGUUUAAACUUUUCAUUUUCAACACCUAGGAGUACUGUUGCGACAUUGUUUUAAACACGCCGGCCACAAGCGUCAUAUGCGGCAAUAUGCCUCAAUUGAAUUUUUAACUUAAAACAAUAUUCUAGAAAAUUCACUAUGCUCUUAUUGCUUUAUACUACUAUAUAUAAUGCGCAAACUUGUCUUCUCAAGUUAGACGGGAUCGAGCUACGCUGACACACUUUAUAGAAUACCCAUAGCUUGUUUAUAUGUAUCAUUGAAAUAAGCUUCCCACAUAUAACCAUUAUAUUUUUAUAUUAUUUAUGGUGAUAUAAUAAUCUAUCAUUAUAAACAACUUCUAGAAUUCUAUUUUUGAUAUUGUAGAAACCGAUACCAUUAUCAUUGUUAUUGCAGAAAAGGUUAUGAAAACGAAGCCGAAGACAAAGCAGUAAAGCUACACAUUUCACAAGAUAUACUUGGUGUAGUA